rnacentral:tRNA from 1 species
GGGGAUUUAGCUCAGUGGUAGAGCGCUUGCCUUGCAAGCACAAGGCCCUGGGUUCGGUCCCCAGCUCCA